rnacentral:rRNA from 1 species
UACGAAGGGGGCUAGCGUUGCUCGGAAUCACUGGGCGUAAAGCGCACGUAGGCGGCUUCUUAAGUCGGGGGUGAAAUCCUGGAGCUCAACUCCAGAACUGCCUUUGAUACUGGGUAUCUCGAGUAUGGAAGAGGUGAGUGGAAUUCCGAGUGUAGAGGUGAAAUUCGUAGAUAUUCGGAGGAACACCAGUGGCGAAGGCGGCUCACUGGUCCAUUACUGACGCUGAGGUGCGAAAGCGUGGGGAGCAAACAGG